rnacentral:rRNA from 1 species
CAGAGGUCUCAAGCGUUGUUCGGAUUCAUUGGGCGUAAAGGGUGCGUAGGCGGCGCGGUAAGUCGGGUGUGAAAUCUCGGAGCUUAACUCCGAAACUGCAUUCGAUACUGCCGUGCUUGAGGACUGGAGAGGAGACUGGAAUUUACGGUGUAGCGGUGAAAUGCGUAGAUAUCGUAAGGAAGACCAGUGGCGAAGGCGGGUCUCUGGACAGUUCCUGACGCUGAGGCACGGAAGGUCAGGGGAGCAAACGGGAUUAGAUACCCCGGUAGUCCUGACAGUAAACGGUGCACGUUUGGUGUGGGAGGAUUCGACCCUUCUGCGCCGGAGCUAACGCGUUAAACGUGCCGCCUGGGGAGUACGGUCGCAAGAUUA